rnacentral:rRNA from 1 species
UACGUAGGGGCCUAGCGUUGUCCGGAAUUAUUGGGCGUAAAGAGCUCGUAGGCGGUUCGGCAAGUCGGAUGUGAAAUCUCCACGCUUAACGUGGAGGGGCCAUUCGAAACUGCUGUGACUCGAGUCCGGUAGGGGAGUGUGGAAUUCCUGGUGUAGCGGUGAAAUGCGCAGAUAUCAGGAGGAACACCGGUGGCGAAGGCGGGUCUCUGGGCCAAUACUGACGCUGAGGAGCGAAAGCGUGGGGAGCGAACAGG